rnacentral:lncRNA from 1 species
AUGGACCAAAGAGAAAUUCUGCAGAAGUUCCUGGAUGAGGCACAACACAGGAAAAGUAACAAAGAGGAGUUUGCUAAUGAAUUUCUGAUGCUGAAAAGACUAUCCGCCAAAUAUAAGGCAGAAAAAACCUAUCCCACAACUGUGGCUGAGAGGCCCAAGAAUAUCAAGAAAAACAGAUAUAAGGAUAUUUUGCCCUAUGACCAUAGCCUAGUAGAACUGUUCUUGAUAACCUCUGAUGAGGAUUCCAGCUACAUCAAUGCCAACUUCAUUAAGGGAGUUUAUGGACCCAAGACUUAUAUUGCCACCCAGGGACCUUUGCCUACAACUGUCCUGGACUUCUGGAGGAUGAUUUGGGAAUACAGCAUCCUGAUCAUUGUUAUGGCGUGCAUGGAGUUUGAAAUGGGAAAGAAAAAAUGUGAGCGCUACUGGGCUGAACCAGGAGACACGCAACUGCAACUUGGUCCUUUCUCCAUAUCCUGUGAAGCUGAAAAUAGAAAAUCUGAUUAUACAAUCAGGACUCUAAAAGCCAAGUUCAAUAGUGAAACUCGAACCAUCUAUCAGUUCCAUUAUAAGAAUUGGCCAGACCAUGAUGUGCCUUCAUCUAUAGACCCUAUUCUUGAGCUCAUUUGGGAUGUGCGUUGUUACCAAGAUGAUAACAGUGUUCCCAUAUGCAUUCACUGCAGCGCUGGUUGUGGAAGAACUGGUGUUCUCUGUGCUAUUGAUUACACAUGGAUGUUGCUAAAAGAUGGGAUUCAAGCAAAGGACUCAGUUUUUGAGCAAAAUCCCAACAUAAAAGCAAAAUCUUAUUCUCCUAAUUUACCAAAAAGCAACAUAAAAGAAGCAAAAGUGAUGAACCAACAGAGCAAAGGAAGGAUAAGGGUGAAAAGUGCAGAAACUUCUUCCUUUGACCUCAGGACUUCUGAAAUAAAUGAAAAGGAAGGGUUAGACAUGCACCCUGCUAAACAGAGCAGUUCUUUAGAGUUUUUGGAACUGAACUGUGGUUGUAACAAAAAUGCUGACACAACCAUGAAAUGGGAGACAAAGGUAUUCCCAAUAGCUGGGGAGCCUCUUCAGAAGCAUCAGAGUUUGGACUUGAGUUCCAUUUUGUUUGGAGCAUAUCCUAAAUCUAAACCUGUAAAUGCAGCAGGAAGAUAUUCUAAUUUAAAGGUGCCAAUACUGCGGACCAAAUCAACUCCCUUUGAAUUGAUGCAACAGAGAGACAGCAAAGAGCUGGACAUAAAGGGAAAUUUUUAUUUGGAAUCUCAACCACACAACUGUUGUGUUGAUCAGGCUCAAAAAGUGAUGCAUGUUUCUUCAGCAGAACUUAAUUUUUCACCAUCACAUGACUCUAAGCAUCAAACGUGCAAUGCUGCUAAUCCAAAGCAGCAUGUCUCUGGUGCUUUUAAUGAGCAUUCUUAUAUGUCUUUAGUAGAAGAUCCUUAUUUUUCAUCAUUGUCUCCAAGUAGUGCUCAUUCUAAGAUGUCUUUUGAUUUACCUCAGAAGCAAGAUGGAAGUGUUUUACCUUGUUCUUCCCUGUCAAAAUCCUCUACAACCCUCUUUCCUCAUUACAGUUCACAUGAUUCUUUAACACUGACUGCCCUGAUCAAUUUUCCCCCACCACUGAACCAAGAGACAGCAGCAGUAGCAACUUCUCCACAGAUAGAUGAUGAAAUCCCUCCUCCACUUCCUGAACGGACACCUGAAUCUUUUAUUGUAGUAGAGGAAGCCGGAGAACUCCCACAGGGUGUUCCCAAAUCUUCAUCUUCACCUGUGAAGGUAAAAAUUGGAACAUCACUAGAAUGUAGUGGAACAUCUGAAUCAAAGAAAUCUGAUGAUUUGGUAAGAUUUAGACCAAGCAAGAGUAUAAAACCCCAGAGUCCAAAAUCAGAUCUACAACAAGAUCGUUCUUCUUCCCCACCACCUCCACUGCCAGAGAGAACCUUAGAGUCCUUCCUUCUUGCUGAUGAAGAUUGUAUACAGGCUCAACCUGUAGAGACUUGUUCUAGCUGUCCUAACACCAUGGAAAAUUCAGCAUCUUCAAAACAGACACUGAAACCUCCUGGAAAGAAUUUUACAAGGAGUAAGAGUUUGAAAAUUUUACGAAACGUGAAAAAGAGUAUCUGUAAUUCUUCCCCACCAAACAAGCCUGCACAGACUGUUCAGUCAAAUAACUCCAGCUCCUUUUUGAAUUUUGGUUUUGCAAAUCGUUUUUCAAAACCCAAAGGACCAAGGAAACCACCAUCAACUUGGAAAAUUUAAAACAGCUUUGGAAUAUUGCCUGCAAGUGAAUCUGCAAAUAAAACUAAUAGAAUACUGCUAGCUAAAAUAAGU